rnacentral:rRNA from 1 species
UACGGGGGGAGCAAGCGUUGUUCGGAUUUACUGGGCGUAAAGGGCGCGUAGGCGGUCAGCACAAGUAAGUUGUGAAAUCUCCGGGCUUAACUCGGAAAGGUCAACUGAUACUGUGCGACUAGAGUGCAGAAGGGGCAACUGGAAUUCUCGGUGUAGCGGUGAAAUGCGUAGAUAUCGAGAGGAACACCUGCGGCGAAGGCGGGUUGCUGGGCUGACACUGACGCUGAUGCGCGAAAGCCAGGGGAGCGAACGGG